CUUCGGCCUCCCGCUCCGGGGACCACAUCGGAACCCCAGCCCCGCCAAGACUCCGAACACCAGCCUGGCCCGGGUCCCCUUUCGCCCUCGUUCCCUCCCGGCUUCCGUUCUUUGACCACCGCCUCCUCUGUCAUUACGUCACCGUCUCCUCCGCGUGAAAUAAAGCUCACACGUCCUCACGGCGCAUGCGUGGCCCCGCCCCCCGCACCUAGAAGCGGAAUGAUGACUCUAUUUGCGUGGCCCGUGCCCCCGCCGUCUUUGUGAGGAAUGAACAGCUUUGCGCCUGCGUAGCGUGCAGGUGCGUAGCGCGCACCCUCGAGUCGUGGUUUGUGGGAGCAUUUUAUGGAGGAAAAUGAUAAUGCCUCCACCUUGUGGUUUCGGAUAGUGGAACCGCAGUCCCGCUAGGGGCGCCAGAGGCGCUCGGAUGGCCCCGGUGGAUCGCCGUUUACCGUGGCUCGACCACCUACGUUCAGAUGUUUAAAUUUCCACGCUACUGCACUUCCUUUCCCGAUGUCAGCGGUCAGCGGGCCGCCCCGCCGUGACAGUGCGUGCGCUGACUGAGAGGGAUCCGUGGUUUAAUCGCGGUCCAUGGGCUCCAGAAGAGAACAGAGAGAUGAGAAGUAGAUGCAAAAGCCAGCUGACUUUCUUGCUGCAAGAACUAUCUCUUUCCUUGAGAGGGCUCCAGAGGGCACACGAGGACAUUUGGCCGCGCCUCCGCGCCAUCUACGAGACCUGCCCAACCCCAACUCCUCAUCAGCACAGACCAGGAGAUUGGGUCUACGUCAG